AAAAAAAAGAGAGACAAUAUAGAAGAGAUACAAAUCGUACUUCCCAGCAAGAAUAUAUCCUGCCCCUUAACUAAAUUGAUUCCUAUUAAUAAUUUUCUGCAUACAUACCUUUGAAGAGAAGGUGUUAUUUAUAGUCCAUAAAAA